CCCCAUCUUGCCACAACCCUCACUUGGCAGUAGCCAACAUCAGACAGUCCCUCACAAUUAUCUCCAUCUCCUAAGGCUCAGGAGUUGAAGGAGAAGUUUUAGUCUUAGACCCAGAGAGAAAAGAAAUUCUCUUUCUAAAUUGCUGCAUGAACAGAAGAUAUUUUAUCGAAGAAUUAGAACCAAUAGGAGGAACCACCAAGUUGCCGUAUAUGAUUGUGUGAAAAUGGAUACUUUGAUUUGCUUGAGGCCCACCCCGCCAGAUAUCCAGGUAACCAGAAGAACUGUAUGAAGACUGGCUGUAUCGGCUUGACAUAUCAACAAUCCCUUGUGGUGACCAAGAGUAAACCUAGCUGGAUGUGCAGAAAUUCAGUAACUCUGAAGCCAAUUAAUCUCAUACCAGCUUUGAAGCAGAUCCUGAGCCAUUUGGUGUUUAUGGACCUUCAAGGGACAUCCUUAUCUCCAGAGACUCCCCGAGCUGUUGGUUAUGGGACUCUUGGAAUUAUCCUAUUUUUAGAGACAUCUCCUUAUUAAGCUUUGAAAUAUGGACUGCUCAUCACCAAGGAUGCCUUCUGAUUCAUGUAUCAAAGGGCCACAACUCUGACACCUGGAAUUCCUCACUGGGGAAUGGGAAUGGGGCUCACUGACUCAUUCCUUUCUAAGCCCACUUUCCCCCCAAAUUCCUUACCUUCCUUUGUUUAGGAGAUACAUAAACUCUCCUCAUCCAUGGGCUGUCAGCAUAGGUUGGCAGUCCCCAUGUGCAUUUUUUAU